rnacentral:lncRNA from 1 species
GCUGCCGUUGUCAUGGAAACGGCCAGAUGGCCUGGCAAUGGGGGAACGGGGUGACAUCUGCUAUUGCUCGCAAUGGCAAGUCUAGUUCUUAUUGUAUCUGGAAUAUUGACUUUACCACGAAAAAAUCAUUUAUUGGUCAUCAGUUUUUCCUGUUUUGUAUGUGUUGGUUUUCCUUUUAAAUUGUUUUACACUGGCAAUGCCUUGGCCAUUAUAGCUUGCUCUUUGGAGUGAGUCAAUACCUGUGUCAUAAAUUACAUAACUAUUACAUUGUCUUAUUGGCACUUAUAUCAAAUAUCAUUUUGUCUUAUGCUCUAGAUUUUUUUUUUGCCUAACUAAUAUUUCGAUUUGAGUCACUGAUAAGUGUUGAUUACACAAAACAGGUGUCUGGUUAACAUUAAAAGCCUGGUACGUUUGAUAUUAUUUAAAACAUUGAAUUUAUUGACUAAACAUUAAACAGUCAGGGGUACUACUUAAACAAGUGAUUUCAGGAUCACCUAUUAAAGUGAUUGCGCUAUUGAAAAAUGAAAAAUGUUUAUAAAAU